rnacentral:rRNA from 1 species
UACGUAGGUGGCAAGCGUUGUCCGGAUUUAUUGGGUUUAAAGGGUGCGUAGGUGGUCUAUUAAGUCAGUGCUGAAAUAUCCCGGCUUAACCGGGAGGGUGGCAUUGAUACUGAUGGACUUGAGUGGAGUUGAGGUAGGCGGAAUUGGCGGUGUAGCGGUGAAAUGCUUAGAUAUCGUCAAGAACACCAAUAGCGAAGGCAGCUUACUAAGCUCUAACUGACACUGAUGCACGAAAGUGUGGGGAUCAAACAGG